GUUAAGUGCAGCAGCAGUGAUCUUCUUGCAAGCCCAGCAGUGGCUGCGGGCACUUGUGUGUGCGGUGUUCGAGCAAUCUCCCCCGAGAUCAAUAAGGCUUUUUUCGUCCGAGACGCACACCAGAUCCACAAGUCCUCAGAAUAUAUCUCCGGAUUACCUUUAAGGAGCGUGGCUCCGGCGCUGUAAAGUUUUACGGCGUUUUCAUUAUUGGCAGCAGCUAAAGCUGUACAUAUCCCAUGGUCCUUGACGCUGCAUGUACAUGACAUUAUCGCCAAGCACUGUACAGAGCGAAUUUCAGACCCACCCUUUGCGUGUGCAAUGUUGUGUGACGUGUAAAGUCCAGCAAAACGCGGGCAGCGCGAGAGGAACGCUCGGCGUGGCACAUAGAACGGCGUCAGCUGCUCCUCCCGGAAUUUCUCAUUGAGGCAAUAAAAGUUUUAUGCUGUACGACGACGUCGACGGUGCGGUGUGCCGGCGCAGAGAAUAAAAUUGAAGCAGCAAGAAAUUGCAUGGAAAUCAUUUCCCUGCUGCUGCUGCUUCUGCUGUUUUCACACUUCUUCGCCGAGGGAAUCGUACAUAUAAUGUAGUCGCUAUAAGGGUGGAUCUGCGGCGCCAACUCGUUCUCCAUAUUCGCGGCGCGCGUGCUUCUGUCUACUCAUGGAUUGACACACUUACCUACCUUUCUCUCUCUCCCUCGCCGGUACUGAACGGAGCCGUCAUAUUACAGCUGACAGUUUUGCUUUUGCCUUCAUCUCGCCUCCAGAAGUAAAAAGUACAUUAUAUCGUGAUGUUGAUGUUAUGUCAAA